rnacentral:snRNA from 1 species
AGCUUUGCGCAAUGGCAGUAUGGUAACCAAUGAGGUUUAUCCAGGGAGUGAUUAUUGCGAAUUGAAAACUUUUCCCAAUACUCCGCUGUGACGACUUGAAAUAAAAAGGAGCUUAAAAACU